GUCUGCAGGAAGCUGCACAAGCCUUGAUUUAUGCUGGGAUGGCUGGGUCAAACUUGGAAAAUAUUCAAGAAAAAAUAAAUGAGUACUUGGAGAGAGUUCAAGCUCUCCAUUCAGCAGUUCAGUCACAGAAAACAGACCCUCUGAAGUCAAAACAACAGUUGGACUUGGAGCGUGCUCACUUCCUAGUUACACAGGCUUUUGAUGAAGAUGAUAAAGGCAAUGCAGAAGAAGCUAUAGAGUUGUACACAGAAGCCGUGGAACUCUGUUUGAAAACAGCUACUGAAACUUCAGAAGCAGGCCUCCAGUCCAAACUGAAACAGCUGGCUCGACAAGCGCUGGAUAGAGCAGAGGCACUGAAGGAAUCUAUGUCAAAGUCAUCUCAGAAAGAAAAGUCAACUGCAGCUAAACCAAAUCAGCCAGUGAGAACAUUCUUCCCAUUGGGACCUGAUUUUUCUUUAAAUGAUAAACCACAGACAAUCAGAGCAGUACAAGCUAGUGAACCUCAAGGUCAGAGAUACACUGCAGAGGAGAUUGAAGUGCUCAGGAAGACUUCAAAAAUUAAUGGCAUUGAAUAUGUACCUUUCAUGAGUGUCGAUCUGAGGGAACGUUUUGCUUUCCCUAUGCCUUUUUCUGAUAAAUGCGGGAAGUUACCAUUAUCCCCCAAACAGAAAGCGAUGUUUGCCAAAUGGGUGCGACCAGAUGACAUAACAAAUAACCCUACCAUGAUCUACACUGUAUCAAGUUUCAGCAUAAAGCAGACAAUAGUGUCAGAUUGCUCUUUUGUGGCAUCACUGGCUAUCAGUGCAGCAUAUGAAAGAAGAUAUAACAAAAAAUUGAUCACGAGUAUAAUUUACCCUCAGAAUAAGAAAGGGGAACCAGAGUAUAAUCCAUGUGGUAAAUACAUGGUGAAGCUUCAUAUCAAUGGUGUACCUAGAAAGGUAAUCAUAGAUGACCAGUUACCUGUUGAUCAUAGUGGGGAACUUCUCUGCUCUUAUUCUAAUAAUAAGAAUGAAUUAUGGGUGUCACUAAUAGAAAAGGCUUACAUGAAGGUCAUGGGAGGAUAUGAUUUUCCUGGAUCAAAUUCUAAUAUUGAUCUCCAUGCACUGACUGGUUGGAUACCUGAAAGAAUUGCUAUGCACUCUGACAAUCAAGCUUUCAAUAAAGACAGUACUUUCAGAAUGCUUUAUCAGAGAUUUCACAAGGGAGAUGUCCUUAUUACCACAGCAACAGGGGUGAUGUCUGAAGAGGAAGGAGAAAAAUGGGGUUUAGUUCCAACCCAUGCAUAUGCAGUCUUGGACAUAAGAGAAUAUAAGGGACUUAGAUUUCUUCAGUUGAAAAAUCCCUGGAGCCACUUACGUUGGAAGGGACGAUACAGUGAAAAUGACACAAGAAAUUGGACCCCAGAUUUACAAAAAUACUUGAACUUUGAUCCAAGAACAGCUCAGAAAAUAGACAAUGGCAUUUUCUGGAUUUCCUGGGAGGACCUGUGCCAGUACUAUGAUGUUAUUUAUUUGAGUUGGAACCCAAGUCUUUUCAAAGAAUCUACAUGUAUUCACAGUACCUGGGAUGCAAAGCAGGGCCCGGUGAAGGAUGCCUACAGCCUGGCCAACAAUCCUCAGUACAAGCUGGAAGUUCAGUGUCCACAGGGUGGUGCUGCCGUCUGGGUCCUGCUCAGCAGGCACAUCACUGACAAGGAUGACUUUGCACACAAUCGGGAGUUCAUUACAAUGGUUGUGUACAAGACUGAUGGCAAAAAAGUUUACUAUCCAGCUGAUCCUCCUCCGUAUAUCGAUGGUAUUCGGAUCAACAGUCCUCAUUAUCUGACUAAGAUAAAGUUGACCUCUCCAGGGCCCCAUACAUUUACCUUAGUGGUGUCCCAGUAUGAGAAACAAAACACUAUCCAUUACACCAUCAGGGUGUACUCCUUGUGCAAGUUCACCUUUUCCAAGAUUCCUACACCUUACACCAUUUCCAAGCGGGUUAAUGGACAGUGGAAAGGUCACAGUGCCGGAGGAUGUGGAAACUUCAGAGACACCUACAAAAAUAACCCCAUUUAUCAAAUCCAGCUAGACAAGAAUGGACCAUUGCUAAUUGAACUACGGGGACCGAGGCAAUACAGCGUUGGCUUUGAACUCGUCACCGUCUCAACAGUAGGAGAUCCUGGUUCCUAUGGCUUUCACAAAAAGAGCAGUGGUGACUACAGGUGUGGAUUUUGCUACUUGGAAGUGGAGAACAUACUUGCUGGAGUUUACAACAUUAUCCCCACCACAUUCCUGCCUCAACAAGAGGGUCCUUUUUUCUUAGAUUUUAACAGUACUACUCCUCUUAAGGUGUCCCAGCUGCAGUGAGGAGACAUAUCUGUGCAGUACUGUUUAAGGAGGUGGUUUUGACCUGUCCUACAGGCUGAGAACAGCUGCCAGACCGAGCUUGAUCCUGAUCAGCAGUAAGGACAGGGGGUUAUCCAGCAGCAGCAUGCGGAGAAUGCAGCAUAGACUUCCUUGAGCAGGUGUGAAAGAUUGUCAUCUGAAGAUCCCCACAGUCUCAGUUGCUGGUGGGGAGAUGGGAAACUGCCCACCAUCAGAAACUCAGCAAAGAAAUGUUUUAUUUUCAUCACUUUUAUAAGUAUUCAGCCUAUAGGGAAGGAUUAGUUAAGCCUCUCCUGCUAAUAAACCACAGCUGCAGGGAAUGCACUUGCUGAUUUAUACCAGACAUCUUUGAUAAGGUACUUUUUUCCUUGUAAGUUGAAACCAGUGGAUGAAUUGAGCACUUGGCCACUGUCAUCAACAGAAGCAGGGUUAGAGUUUUUAAGAAAAUAGUGGAAGUGGGAUUAAUGCAGAAUGAGAUUUUUCCAGAAGCCUCCUAUAUGUGCUCCUCCUCUAGAUCUGUAUACAUUGUAUCUAAAGAGGAUUCAAGAUAACCAAAUUUUCAAUUUAAUACCAACUGCCUCAGAUCCUGAAAUGCAUUAAAUUUUGUCUUUUUUACAAAAUGUAUAAUAUUUGACAGCUGGGAGAGAGGAUGUUUUUAAAACAGCCACGGGAAUUUUGCUGCCAUUCACAUUAGUUUGCCAGUUUUCCAAUCAAAACAGGUAGCAUUUAAAUCUUGCUUUAGAGCACAGGUGUCACUUGGCCAUUGGGAAACUGAGCACACAAUUCUACAGGAGCACCAGAAAUAUCUGUGGGCUGAAAUUACUCCCACAGAGGUCUGCUAUUAGUCCUCUCCAGAAAGUACAAGAUUCUUUUGUUUUGUUUCCUUCAUCAGACAGCUGCUUAACAAGUGUCUAGUGCUGAAAGGGCACUGAUAGCUCAUGCCUUUGAAAAUAUGUCCUGCUGACUGCAGUUCUCUCAAAGGCUAUCUGGGAUAGGAAAUUUGGGACAGGUUUGUCACAGUGUGACUUACCUUCUUUUGCAGGGAAGUUUCUGCAUGGGCACAAGCUGAGCAAAGAAACAGAUUAGGUUCAUUGUAGUUACCCCCCUGGCUUCUGGAGUAUAGGUCAAGGACAACUUCAUCCCUACAAAAUGAAAAUUUCAUUCAGCUCACAUUUUCCCUACAGAUUUCUGUGAAGUUUUUAGCUCACGCUAAACCAGAAUCGCAGUGGAGUCCUGCAUGUAUCUUAUCACCUGUGACGUUAGAGGUAGUUAGGAAGUCCCAACUGAGUAUCUUUUUGGCAGUACAAAAUGCAGAUGCCAGAACUGCCAGCUUUCAGUACCAAGUUCUUGCAAAUUCUCUGCUGUUUGAGAUCAAGGUGGUAGACUUGCCUACAGUAAAAUCUGUUGUUGUUCUUCAGUAGUUGGUUUCUACUCAGCAGAAAGGAGUUUUUCUUUCUUUUCCCCCUGAGCACAAGCUACUGCCAAGCUUAUGCUGUAUGAAACGAGCAUAAGGCUCAGCUUUCCAUACUGUGCUGAACUAAAACUAAACUGAACUAAAAGCAAGAAAUGUACUCACUGUCUGGCAUUAAGGACAAAGUAUCCUGUCCCAAAUAGGAUGUGCUGAUAUUUCUUACAUAUACAGAACAGUCAGGGGAUUUGGCUUAUCUUAAAUCCCAUACAUAAAUGGAGACAAGUGUCAAUCUUAUUAAUAUAAAACAAAUCCUGAUCAAAUAUUGCACCUGCAUAGGCUACUAGAAUGCCAUCACUGUGCAUUUCCUUUAAAUAUAGGACAGAACACUCAGGUGGACUAUUUAAGAGGAAUAUUCUUAUAAAUUCUAGUCUACAGAUUCUGGUUGUGGCAAAUUGAUUUUGCAACAAAGUUUUCUUGCCAUUUUGUCUUAGGAAAAAAUGUUAGCGUUUAUGAUUUGCUUUAAUAUUUUCUGUCAAAUAUAUACUUUAAUAUUUUUUCCACAAAUAAAUCUGGAAAACUUAUUGGAAAGUGAAGAUUUUAAGACAACCUCAGGCCACAGUCUAAGUUAAGCUUUUGUUUCCCCUAUACUGUUUAGCAUUUUUUGAUCCGUGACAGAGAACAUGAGGUGGUGGGUUAUGCAGCAAGACUUCUAGAAAGGAAUAA